UUGUUUCAACAAUAGUUCAGGUACAGUCGUUUUAUUUCUUUUCUGUUUCAGUCAUUCGCAAAGUUUAAACAUUGUAAGUGCUUUCAAGGAUAACAAUGCAGCCAAAAAGUGUACCAAAAAGAAUUCAAUUACAGUAGACAAAAAAUGGAAUCCAUUUUUAAGUAGAUUCCAUCAGUCAUAAUAAUAACUAUCACUAUCUAAGCUACUAUUCAUCCAAAAAAGAGACAAGGCUCACAUAAACCAACUUGGGGGUUGGUUUAACUGGACCCCAUCAAGAAAUUUAACAGAGCUUAGAAGACAAGGUAAAAAGAAAAGUGGUACCGAAUCCAGCUUUUUGAAUGACCAUUUCAAAAUGUUGCAAGAAAACAACGUUUCUUAUAAUAUUCCAAAUUAGAAAAAAACGAACAAACCACAACACAAAGAAAGAGACAUUCAACCAACUAAAGCGAUCUUGCAUGCAUAUUCCGUCUUACAAUAGUAAAAGAGAAGUGCUUUUAAAUCAAGACGGCAGAAGAUUGACCAACAUUUUAAUACCCACUAAGUCUGUUUACCUCCCUUGUUUCGCAGACUUCAUCGACUAUUUAUAGGAAUUUCCAAUGCAUAGUGAAAGAAACUCAAUUCUGUCCAAUAAUUUAGUUCACGCCUACUUAAAUGACGUAGUUUAUAAAAGCUCCAAUGCUUUGUUAGUUUACUGAAAGAAGAGCCAAUCAAAUAUUAGCAAGCGACUGAUAGCAUAAACAAACGAAAGCCUAAGCCUUGGUAAUAUAAGAUAC
rnacentral:lncRNA from 1 species